CAUUUCCGCUUCCGUGCGGUGACAGGUGAGCUGCCGGUCACGGCUGUAUCUCUCUCGCAUGUUGCCCAUCCAGUACUAAUUUUAGUUAUUGUUUUGUAAAGGCUCUUGCCGAUUGUGGCAGCACGAGCUAUGGAGUGAUGCCCCUUUUCUUAAGGCAGUAUCGGUAGCAUUAAUUAUUGCCAGACAACGCCACCCUGGGAAUUUCACCCAGAGAUUUAUUUUAAGUGGACUAGCACAAAUGAAGGAAAGGCACUGAGGUCCGUUAUGCAAUGAGGCAGAGACGGCAGUUCGAUCAUACAAAAAUACUUUUAUUUAUCCAAAAUGUCUGUUCUUAAAACUAGAGAAUUACCCACUAAGGAGGGAAAUUGGGUGCUGAGAUCCAAUCAGUGCUGAGACCUACUGUGAACACCUGCAUCCAAAGGAAAGGGGGUCCCAGGAACACCACACGUAAAACAAAUGAAAAAUAAACCAAAUGCAAACACAAUACAAAAGGGACACCAUGACCAGGACACCAGUCCACCACCGUAGGCUCAGCACCUGAAUUGAGGGGGAUCGCAGAGCAACCAGUUAGAAAACAUAAUGGAAACAAAAUAAUAAUAAGAGAAAUUAAUUAAACAAAAACUAUAAUAAGUAAACACAAGGAGAAAUCAGCAAAAACUCUUACAUAACAUAACAUAACAAACACACUUUAAGAUGUAGUGGCACCAACUAAACAAAAGAGAUAGCGACACAACAGGAAAAGGAACAAACUAUCGCUAGCAGAAUGAACGGCAAAGCGAUCGGGUCCGAGCUGGCCCUGGCAAGGCGGUAAUAACGUGCAAGCAAAGCAGCAGUGGUUUUUAUAGGUGGAUUGGCCGCCGCUGCGCCGCUACUGUCGGCCACCCAAUCGGGCAGUCCCGGCCAACGUGGCGUGGAGCAGGGAACGGGACGCUAUCCAAAAGCGACAGUUCAGUAGGCGGCAUCGGCUAUGUAUCGAUGAGCAGCGCGCAGCCAGCAGCAACAUCCAAGUGAGCCCUAUCACUGCACAGAAGCGGAAAUAGACGCACAGGAGCUACGUGACCCAGCCUCCGGCAAGCAAGAGCCUGUCACCGCACGGAAGCGGAAAUGGACGCCCAGGCGCAACGUGACCCAGCCUACGGCAAGCAAGAGCCUGUCACCGCACGGAAGCGGAAAUGGACGCCCAGCCGCAACGUGACCCAGCCUACGGCAAGCAAGAGGCCGACAGGUGCUCUACGCCCGCCUUUAUAGAUAGUCUCCCACUGUGAUUGGCUGGGACUGCCGCACAGCUGACAGUCACCAUGACCACAAACUACAUAUUGCCACACCUGCUAUAUGAAUCAAAUACUAUGAGUGGCACCAACAUAUGACUCAAGUAUAACCAUCGGCUACCCCUAAGAAUGAAACCAGUACCCCAGUAUAAGCCGGUUCCUUGACUGUUGACCUCAAAUAAUAUGACCUCUAUAUCUGGCUUGCCUCAUCGAAGCAAAAAGGGAAGGAGAGGGACCCAAGUUUACGUUAACCGUAGAGAGUUCUUUGGCAGACCAACUCCGGUUUUGUUAUUACUUCUGUGCAGGUGAUUAUGUAGUCAGUAUACCUUUCUUAUUCUGUUAAAUAGUUUUGCAUUUUAUCUACGACAGUAUCUACAGUAUACGAAAGAGUUGUACAGUAUGUAUAUUAAUUAUGUAGUGAUUAUUGGGUUUCAAUGUUGUUGUUUUUUUACAUUCCAUAAAAGGUUGAGAUGUAGCUACAAUCCCUUAAUUUGUAUCUCUGUUCAAAAGAACUAAAGCAAUCUUGAUAAAGUAUUUAUCAUCAUAUAUUGUGUUAUGUAAAGAGAGCUUUGGUGGUGUGCACCCAACAGGACAUUGUGCGGGAGUACUAUAGUAGGCUAACUGGAUUUUACAAAUGUCCUUACAACAGCCCUCUAAUUGCCAGGGCCCAAAUUGGAUUAUUUUUAUAGUGUUUCACUUUCUAUUAAGCCUACGUUUAAUGGUUAUUAUGCAUCUGACCCUUUCUAUUUCCCUAAACAUCUUUUCACUUCAAACAUUUGCUCUCUGUGAGCCUUUCAUUUUGCC
ensembl:lncRNA